rnacentral:rRNA from 1 species
GACGAACGCUGGCGGCGUGCCUAAUACAUGCAAGUAGAACGCUGAAGAGAGGAGCUUGCUCUUCUUGGAUGAGUUGCGAACGGGUGAGUAACGCGUAGGCAACCUGCCUGGUAGCGGGGGAUAACUAUUGGAAACGAUAGCUAAUACCGCAUAAAAUUGAUUAUUGCAUGAUAAUUAAUUGAAAGAUGCAACUGCAUCACUACCAGAUGGACCUGCGUUGUAUUAGCUAGUUGGUGAGGUAACGGCUCACCAAGGCGACGAUACAUAGCCGACCUGAGAGGGUGAUCGGCCACACUGGGACUGAGACACGGCCCAGACUCCUACGGGAGGCAGCAGUAGGGAAUCUUCGGCAAUGGGGGGAACCCUGACCGAGCAACGCCGCGUGAGUGAAGAAGGUUUUCGGAUCGUAAAGCUCUGUUGUAAGAGAAGAACGGGUGUGAGAGUGGAAAGUUCACACUG